CCUUUUACUAUUCCCCAAGCAAUGCUCAAAACAUCUACAUGUUAAGCCAAGUUAGAUGAAGGUGAACUAAAAGCUCCUCGCCUUGGGUGAAGAUCUAGAGGGACAAGACUGAACACACUGCCAAGAACCUACGUAACUUAUGUCUUCAAAAGGGCCUCCAGUUCAACCUUACUUAUGUAUGUGAGCCCUUCUCCUUGAUGCCUUCCCUUCCCUUGAACAGAAGUGAAUGUGUUUUUAAAUAGUGAAGCAUUUCUGUAGCUUCCUUUCAAGUCCCCAAGGUAUUCUUGGCCGUGGGAACUUCUCUGUAUAGCUCCUAUGGAAUUGGGAACUUGGAGCAUAGCCAUGACACUUCCAUGUAAGCAAACAUAUGUUCUAUACAGAACUUUUCACUGAUGUUGGUAACCUGGGUGGAAUAGCUGAUUUUUAUUCUACAGAUUUACUACUUUUGUGAAUGGAAACCUACACUAAAUUUUCUUCCCUGAGAGCUGAAAAUGGAGUUGCUUUUAAGUUUCAACUGAAUUUGAGACAUCUUUAGAUCCAGAUGCUGUUCUUCCUGCUCUUCCUUCAAUCUGUGGCCUGUUCAAGUUAACUAUACGCUGAGGACCUCUAGGAACAGGAGCUAUGAAGAAUUAUUUUUUUUCCUUCUUGCCUAUCAGCAGAAUCACAGAACAGUUGAGCUUGGAAGAGGCAGCCGGAAGAUACCUGGUCUAAGCCUCUGCUCAAGCAGGGCCGCUGAGGGCUGGUUGUCCAAGACUGUGUCCAGGAGGCUUCUGAAGAUCUCAUGCCUUUCCAAGAGACCUGUGUCAGUGCUCAGCCAUCCUUGCACUGAAAAUGUUUCCUGAUGUUCAGAUGGACUAUCCUGAAUUUUUGUGCCCACAGCAUCUUGCCCUGGCACUGGACCGCUGAGAGUAGCCUCUUUGUCAUCUUUAUAUCCUUCCUUCUAGUAUUUACUGUGUUGAUGAGUUCACCAGCUCAAGCCUUCUCCUUUCUGUGUAUAUCCUUUAUAUUUAUAUCCUAUAAGAUAUCCUUUCUGAUAUCUUCAAGCAGAUAUCAGGGUAGUUGAAGUCUCCAAUGAGGACCAGGUCCUGCGAAUGUGAGGCUUGUAGUUCACAUGAGUUCGGGCAUAUGUACUGAUAAGGUACCCUACACUGAUGUACUGAAGAGGUAUAUGUACACCUCCUGUUUAUCUCCUCUAAUACUGAGGGUGAUGUGAAUGAGGAUUUAGGGGAGAGAAAAUGCUAUUCCUUUAGCUAUUCCUUUAUUUCUCCAUGUAGCUGCUUUAAGUACUUUACUUAUCUUCUGUGUCUAUGUGGUGGUUUCCAGUUUCCCUCAUUUCUUGUUCCCUGUGCAGGAGUGAUGAGUAGGACCAAAAACACUCAGUCUCUAUUGCUAUAUUUUGCACUGCAUUUCAGAAUCACACAUCCAACUGUUCUUCAUCCUGGGAGCGAGUGCUUCACAAUAUAUUUUUAUAUAUAUAAUUUUUUCCUUGUGUUUAGAAAGGCUGGUGCAUGGCAACCCACCAGUUGUGUUCCUCAAGGGCAGGGAAAAAAAUGAAAAUGGAAAGCAAAGAUCUGUAACUGAAGUAUUCAGUUAGAAAAAUGCGGGGCUGUACAGAACAGGACUACAACGUGGUGGUCUUGUGCCAUAUCACAGUUCUCAUCCUGAUGCUCACAUUUUUGUUGGAAAGGGAAAUAUACUUCUGUGCCAUCUUCAGCAUAACUGUGCCCUCAAGAUGCAUGAUUUAAGGUUGCCAACUCAGCCUCUGAUAUAGCACUGUAAGACUGCCUGAGUGUUGACAGCUGCUGGCAGUUCCUUAGCAUGGAAAAUCAUAAGGAUAACUGUAAAUGAGCUGAGAGGUACCUCUUCCCUCCUACUCACACUUGUCACAACUCAGAAGAACAUGAAGUACCUCUUCUUCAACCAGCAAAUUGAGUCUUAGGGAACAGUAAGAAAUAAUAAGAGAAGACUCUAGAAGAUUCACAUACCUACACUAUUUGAGAUGGCUCCUGUGGACAGGGAUUGAUGGCAGCAAUUCAGAUUUGAAGGGAGGCUGUAAAAAAGAGCAAAGUAUGUUCUACUUCAACUCUUGAAGCCUGCCUCAUUGGAUGGGCCUCACGUGCGGGAACGCUUCUGACCUUGAAUGAAAAAAGUUCUGACCCUCCACAGGUAAGUUUUGC